GUGUAUUGUAAUAUGAUAACAGGAGCCCAUGAUUUGUAAUAUUAACAGUAAUUAAUUGUUUAUUUCAUAGUCUGUGGCUGCCAUAUAUAGUAAUUAUGUUUGAAUGCCCAUAAUCAAGAUAAUAUUGUUUGGAGCAGGCUUGAUUAGCUAGCCACAAUUUAACAUGAGGAACCCACUCUCUCUCUCUCUCUCUCUCUCGCUCAUACGUGAAUUUAUGAUAGUGCGGAUACACUGCUGCUUAUAAGAGUCACGUGAAGCCAUUUUGGUCCCACAUCCCUUUUGAAAAGUACUACUCAUCCAUCAUCAAUCGACUACAACUCUACAACCUAUCACUCCUAUAAAUUUUCUGAACGUUGGGGACUGUUCCAAACCUUCUUUGUAAUAUCCGAUAUUGGGACCAUGCAUGUAUAAAUUAGGGAAUGUAUGAACUGUAGCUAUUUUGUUGUAGAAUUUAAACUAUAGUGUUUUUUUUUUGCGGUAGAUCAUUUUGCUGUAAAUUUGAAAAGGACUUUUUUGCUGAGAAUAUAAAACUCUCUACAUCCACAUUUUAUAUUUAGUGAUAUUUCUUGCUGUAGAUUUUUUAGAGAUUAUAAGAGCAUUAGCAAUGGGAAGCUCUUUCCUAAAACUCUCAAAGAAAAUACUAAGAGAAAAAAAUAAAGUAAAGAGGAAAUAAAAAGUUUAGAACAUGCUCUCAUUUAAGAACAUGUUUUCAUGUUUUAAGAAUACGUCUCUCCUCAUUAUUUCAUUUUGAUUAGUUCAUAAAAACAAAAAUAAAUAAAAUAGUUAUUAUACAUAUAUAAUAAUAUUUUUGAGAGUUUUGGAUAAAAACUACCAGUGCUGAUGCUCUAAGUAUGAUUCUAAACUAAAUUUUAGUUGUCCAAAGCAUCUAUAUGUACAGCUAAUCAACUUCUUAGUCUCUUUGAUUCCUGAUUCGGUUCAUAGUUAAUUGUAAUUUUAGAUAAAACUUAUUUUUGGAUAACCAUAAGCUUUACGAAACAACCAAAUGAUGUUUAAACGGCAUUCGGAACAAAUACUGUUAGAUUGAAUGGUAUAUGUUUCAGUUAUAUCACCUAUCGUUUCAGGACCGGAAGAUGUGAAUAUCUGUUUUACUAUGUUAUAUAUACAUAAGCGGGGCUUACCCAAAUCAAUUUUCAUUAUACAUGUUUAAAUGUAGUAAUUAUAAAACUUUCAAAACUGUAUAAAUUAUUUAAUAAUAAAUAAUUAAAUAACCAAAAGUUAUUAUAUUGCUAGCUAACUGAUAUUAAAAACCAUACAUUGUACAUCUAAUUAGUCUAAACGUUCAUCAAAUUCAGAAAAAAAUAAUGUUCCAAACAAACAACAUGAAUUACUGAUUUUCCUUUUAAAAGUUGGAUAUCUGCUCUGCAGUUUACCCAUAGCUCUACAUCUUGUGAAGGUGCCGCAAACUCUUUUUUUUUUUUUGCUUAAAAUUUGAUGAGCUGCCGCAAACUUUGAAAGGAUAUUUGUUUUGGAAUCUUUCAUGGUGGCUUAAUGGGACCCAAGCUUAUUCUCACCUUCUGUCUAUGCUGUACGAAAUUAUUUGUCUUUAUAAAGACUAGAGUCUUUGUCCGCGCUACGCGCGGAAAAGUGUGUUGAUAGUUAAUUUUCUGAUUAUAAGUUUCAUUUUUUUUGUUUUGAAUGGAAGCAUUGUAUUUUCCAAAAUGAUGGAAAAAUUGGUGAAUAUCAAAUUUAUGCAAUUGUUUAAAAACAAAAAGAGUAGCUUAAUGGGAACAUUGUAUUUUCCAAAAUGAUGAAAAAAUGGUGAAUAUCAAGUUUAUGCAAUUGUUUAAAAACAAAAAAGAGUAGUUUAACUAAUCAUAAGUAAUAUAAAAAGGAGAUCAAGUCUUUUGAAGAACGUAAGGUUUGAUGUGGACCAUAAAAAGAAAUAGCCUAAAAUUGGUAAAAAUUAAAUUAGUUAACUUAAAUUAUAUUAUAUACCAAACCAUAGUUAUUUAUAUAAAAAAGAUACAUACUUGUAUAACUGGGUAGAGACUCUGUGUAAGUCCUUAUUUGAUUGUACCAUCGUUUGGUGGAUAUGUUGGGCAUUGUAAAUCUGUGAAUAGAAUAAUUUAUCAGAAAAGCUUUAAAAAAUUGUGGAAGUGAAAAGUUCUAAUUUUAAUUAAAAAUACCUUUAUUAUGUUUAGGUCUGCUGCAAGCCGGUCAUGGGCACAAGCAGUAGAAGCUGUGGCUUCCGACUGUCGAUUAAUAUGUAAUUUGUUUGAGAUUAUUUUUAUAUUUUUUUAAUAAAUAAUUUUCAUCAUUUUUGUUUUAUUUCAAGGUUUAAAGAUAUACAAUGGAUUUAUAUUUUUUACAUUUGUUACUUUUUGUUUUUAUUAUUAUGUGUAUUCUUUUGUUUGAGAUUAUUUUUAUAAAUUUUUAUUAAAUGAUUUUCAUCUUUUUCUAGGUUUAGAGAGUUAUACAAUAGCUAUACAAUUCUCAAAACAGAAAAUGAGUAGCAUUACUAACAUUCCAAAUGCAAAAUUACUCUGACGUGAUUUUUUCAUCCAAGUCUUUAAUUUUCAUUGACUGCAUAUUAUAUUAUUUUCUAUUUUUUGGUAAUUCUUAUUUAAAAUUUUGAGUAAUAUUGAUGGAUUUAUUAAAGUAAAAUCUUAUUAUUGGUGUUUAGGCUAUAACUAAUUUUCUACAUUGUUUUUAAUUAGUUAUUGAACUAUAUUAGAUAUGGUUAAGUAAUGUUUUUUCCUAGUCAUUAUUAUUUUAGGACUAAUAUUUGUUACCAACAUAAUUUUCUUUCCACUUUUUAAUGGCAAAUAAUUUUAUGAAAGUAUUUGUUUCUCAUCAUAUAUAGUCUGCCGCACAAAUAUGGACCUACAAUAAAAUAUAUUUAUUAAAUUUCAUUUUCGAAUGCAUAUUUUUCUAUUGUAUAUUUAAAUACAGUAGAAAAUCUAUAAAUUAAUAAUCAAUAAAUUAAUAAACACUAUAAUAUUUUUUGUUUUCAAAUUGAAUCGAUUUAAAAUACGACAUAAACUGAUAAAAUAAUAAAUAAUAAAAGUUUUGAAUUUUUUUUGUAAAUAUAUAGUUCAUUAAAAUCAUAAAUUAAUUAUUUAUAUACAUAAUAUUUAUAUAAGUAUAAUAAAACAUUAUAUUAUAUGUUUUAUAUUCACAAUGUAAUUCAUCUUUACUUUUCUUAACACUUCAAUAUAUUUUGAUAAUAUUUAAUAAAAUUUAAUGUAAACUACAUUUAAAUUCUAUAAAGGAGAAAUUUUACUUAUACCACUUUUAAAACAUAUUUUAUAUACAUCAAAGAAAUUUAAUUAAUGCAUAUAUGGUAAAAUCAAUAUUUUUUAAUUUAUACAAAACACAUCUUGUAAAACAAAAAAUCUAAAAUGAAAUUUAUACAAAAUUAGUAACUCUAUAAAAUAAUAAAAUACCAUAAUCUCAACAUCCUUAAUUUGUAGAAUUUUUACUGUAUAAGCUUAUCUCUAUCUUCAAUUAUACCUUUCUAUUUUCGAGGUUUAUUCCUUACAUGAUGUGUGUUUUACCUUUUAUAUGUUUUCAAUCGUUUUUUAUAUGGUUAAUAAUACUCAACUUUUUGUUAUUGUUGUAUUUUUUUCUAUUUAUGUGUUUUCUUUUCUCUGGUCUUUACUUAUGUUUUGUUAGAUACAUGUUUAGCUUAUGUUGUGUCAGUUUAUCCUUUUAGUUUUGUAACUUCGUAGUUUCUUGUUGUGAUAUAAUUUUGAUAUGUCUUUUUCUUUUAAAAAGUUUAUCUCUUCCUAAUGCAGUACGUUUCACAUCUUCUUUAAAGUUCAAGUAAUAGAAAAAAUAAUAAUAAAAAAAAUAUCAGUGUGACUGAGUUGGAUCUUGCAAGAAACAAUUAUAAAAGAAAAAUACAUGAAUAUCAGUGAACAUUCCAAUUAAAGCUGAGCCAGUGAAAUUUUUAAAUUGCAACAACCUAUAGUCACAGUUAAAAAUAAAUCAUACAAAAAGAACUCAUUCAUAUGAACAAUUCUUUCACCAACAACAAAGAUUGACAUCAAACCCACUGAUAAAGAAACAAAAGGUAAGAUAAGGAGGACAAACUUUUCAUUAAUCAAGAGCAUGACCACCGUCUGCGUCUGCGGAGAACAACCGGACAUCAAAUCUGUCAGUAGGAGAGGAGAUGAGAGGUCAAUAUUGUUGCAGGUUAAUUGAAUGGAAGAGAUUUGAUCACAUCAUCCUCAUUAUUUAUAGUGUAGAUAUCUCUGAAGUUUUUUUUAGGUAGAAAAAGAGGAAAUUAAAUGUAACGUAAAGGAAGGAGUUGGUAUAGAAAUUAAUGGAAAAGCUUAAUUACAAUCGUUUCAUGUUCGGACUUUCGUGUUGCGGCCAGUCCUUAUGUUCUUGGUCUUUAACAAACGGUGGAACUCAGGGUUUAGGCCCAUUUUUUACUCUAUGAUUUAAAAAAUAAACAACAAAAGCCCAAAACAUAUUAAUUCGUAAUGACAUGGACCAAACCUGCAAUCUGAUUGGCUGGAAUUUCCCAUCCUACGUGGACAGGCUAAAAACACUUAGUAUUCAGCUUUUAGUAAAUUUAUACAAAAUUAGUAACUCUAUAAAAUAAUAAAAUACCAUAAUCUCAACAUCCUUAAUUUGUAGAAUUUUUACUGUAUAAGCUUAUCUCUAUCUUCAAUUAUACCUUUCUAUUUUCGAGGUUUAUUCCUUACAUGAUGUGUGUUUUACCUUUUAUAUGUUUUCAAUCGUUUUUUAUAUGGUUAAUAAUACUCAACUUUUUGUUAUUGUUGUAUUUUUUUCUAUUUAUGUGUUUUCUUUUCUCUGGUCUUUACUUAUGUUUUGUUAGAUACAUGUUUAGCUUAUGUUGUGUCAGUUUAUCCUUUUAGUUUUGUAACUUCGUAGUUUCUUGUUGUGAUAUAAUUUUGAUAUGUCUUUUUCUUUUAAAAAGUUUAUCUCUUCCUAAUGCAGUACGUUUCACAUCUUCUUUAAAGUUCAAGUAAUAGAAAAAAUAAUAAUAAAAAAAUAUCAGUGUGACUGAGUUGGAUCUUGCAAGAAACAAUUAUAAAAGAAAAAUACAUGAAUAUCAGUGAACAUUCCAAUUAAAGCUGAGCCAGUGAAAUUUUUAAAUUGCAACAACCUAUAGUCACAGUUAAAAAUAAAUCAUACAAAAAGAACUCAUUCAUAUGAACAAUUCUUUCACCAACAACAAAGAUUGACAUCAAACCCACUGAUAAAGAAACAAAAGGUAAGAUAAGGAGGACAAACUUUUCAUUAAUCAAGAGCAUGACCACCGUCUGCGUCUGCGGAGAACAACCGGACAUCAAAUCUGUCAGUAGGAGAGGAGAUGAGAGGUCAAUAUUGUUGCAGGUUAAUUGAAUGGAAGAGAUUUGAUCACAUCCUCCUCAUUAUUUAUAGUGUAGAUAUCUCUGAAGUUUUUUUUAGGUAGAAAAAGAGGAAAUUAAAUGUAACGUAAAGGAAGGAGUUGGUAUAGAAAUUAAUGGAAAAGCUUAAUUACAAUCGUUUCAUGUUCGGACUUUCGUGUUGCGGCCAGUCCUUAUGUUCUUGGUCUUUAACAAACGGUGGAACUCAGGGUUUAGGCCCAUUUUUUACUCUAUGAUUUAAAAAAUAAACAACAAAAGCCCAAAACAUAUUAAUUCGUAAUGACAUGGACCAAACCUGCAAUCUGAUUGGCUGGAAUUUCCCAUCCUACGUGGACAGGCUAAAAACACUUAGUAUUCAGCUUUUAGUAUAGGAUAGAUAAUAUCAUAAAUCUAAUAAUUCAAUUUCUUGACUGUUUGUUUACUUUGCCAUAUAAAAAAAAGGCUAAAGAGGAUAUAUAUACUUUGUAGUUCACAAAUGCUCAUCAUGAGGAAAUUAUUGUUUAAAUAAUAUUUUUAUUAAAAAUGAAAAUGAAAGGAGGCCCAUCUUCUUCAUCUUUUCACUGUUUAUAGUAAGCCCAAUGUCUAACAAAAACAAACUAAACGACUUUCCCACGUAACGACACAAGAGAGAAACGGAAAACAGCCAAAAGGCCAAACUUUUCCCCCGGCAAGAGAAACCAACCAAUUACUCAGUAUAGCUUUUGUUUCUGUUUUCCUUUUCUUCUGAAAAGAAAUUAAUUAAGAAUUCGGUUCUCGGCACUUUUGUUUCCUUCAUCUGUACUUCACCGCAGCUAUAUAUUUGAUAAAGUCAUAACUUUUCAGAAACUUUGAACUCUCUGAAAACGCAGCCAGUGAUCGUGGUUACAGAUGCAAGAAACAGAGGCGAGUGUCAAAGAUAUACUCAUAUACACAUCUCUGAUUGUGCUGAAAACUCGAUGCACUUUGAUUAUUUUGACGAAUAACACAACUCAAACAAUAAACAAUAGUCGAUGCACUUGCUGGCGGAGCCAGACAAAUGGUUCACUAGGACAAUAUAAAAUUUGAACUUAAAAUCAUAAGAGACAAUAUAAGGGAUUUUAACACUUUAAAUCAUAAAAGUUUCGAAAAAUCAAUGAAAAUAAAUUUGAUUUCAAUAAUUCAUAUGGGGCAGCUGCCCUCUUCCCCCUAUACCUCCGCCACUGUCCUUGUUCAAUAACCCGCAAAGCACAAAGAUAAAUAAUACACUUCUCAUGGGUAAUACCGAACAUCUUCCGGAUUUUCAAUAUUUGAUAUAAAGUAGGCCAAUAUACACGGAGAGAAUAGGGAUGGUCUUGUUGGAGCAAGAUUUAUCACAUAAAUAUUGUUGGGUAUGGACCUGACCCUCCCAAAAGGCCACAUGAUAGUUGCCAUGACCCAUAACCGUGUGGAAGAGACCCGGUUCGCUGGCUCGCGAGCGACCGAUUGGCUCGACUCAAAACUAUUUAUAGUCGAUCAAACGAGCGACUGAAAGCAGUCGACUCGACGACUUGAAGUAGCGGUCCGAUAACUCGGGCCAACCGACGAAAGGCCCAUCAAGUGAAGGCAAAUUAGGUUAUCGAUCGAUCGCCUAUAUAAGGAAAGCAAGAAGCAACAGGAAGGGGAUCCGCAAAUCACUACACGCUUACUUUCGGCUAGAAAUUGGGGUUUUACAUCUUUCUUUUGCCGACCUGUAACUCCCGGCGAACCAGCUUUCGCCGGCUUACUUUCCACCGUUUCUUUCCUCUUUUAUAACUCGACCGAAUAAUUCUCUGAUAUAAUAAACGCUUUUGUCUCGACCCACCGACGAGUUCUCGUCUCUUCUUUUUACUAGUUUAUCGACAGUUCUCGGUUCGGUUCAAACAAAUAUGGUCGCACAUGAGCAAUCAAAACAGGUUAAAAUAAUAAUGUUUGCAUAUUUUAGGCUUUUCUUGCUGAUGAAAUGUUAUAGUGUUUGUGGCUGAUUUGUUGCUCUUGGAAAGGGAAUGUAAAACUUCUCAAAAUCAUCAAGAUCAUAGAAGAUAGACACCAACUAUUACCCUGGGGUAGGUAUGGAUUUUCAGAUUUCAUUAGCAGCUUCAUGAACAAUGCUUGUGACCCUGAUUUUGGGUUUGGGCUAUAGAAUUUGCAUCGCCUCUUCUUGAUGCUCGAACAUUAGUCAGGUAACGAUAUGCCACUUGAUUCCUUCUAUUUUAUUUCAUUUUUUUCUUUUGGUUUAGACACAAUGGUGAUGGUACCAUAGAUAAGUUAUGUAUGUUCCAAGUGCUAGGACCUAACUACCUUGGAGAGCUACUUGAAGCAAUAGAUCCAAGGUGUAGCCAACUUUUUGAUUUGUUUCAAUGCUAAAACCUGUGAAAUGAUAUGUUUCUGAUAUGAGGUUUUAGCUUUGGAGUCUCAGCAUUGUUUGUGUUUGAUUUCACAAAACAGCAACUUACCAACAUUUCUUGGAGGAAAUUGCAUCUGUUCAGAUAGUGAAGGGUGGCUUUUCAGUGAUGGACCCUGGAAUGAUCCAAACAUUGAUGUUUAUGCCAGUACCAUUGAUUUUUCAUCAAGUAAACACAGUUCAUUUCCACUCAAAAGGGACUAAUUUAGAUACUGGAGACUUGCACAAUGGGAGAUGCUGGUUCUGAGGGACAUACUAUGGACAAAGUCUCGGAGAAUUGCUACUUACAAAAGUUGAAAUGUUGGAGGUGUCACUCCGUGAAACAACAAGGGUAAAUAGGAGAGACCUGUGAAAGUUAAUGCCUCACAUCUUUUGAGCUUCAUCUACAGUUUCACUUGUAUUAGUAUAUGCCUAAGGUUUAAUAGUCUCUCUUUCUUCAUUCAGACCUUGAAUGGACAUGCGGAGAUCAUUGAGACCUCUAAACCGAAUCAAACCGAUACAACCUAUAGCCAAAUGCUAAACGGUUUAGAGCGCAAGACAAUCCGUACUACGAUGAUAAAUGCAAAUCAUGUGUGGAGCCAAUCUGUCUCACAUGCAACUGCACGUGUGACCUCUGCAACCGCAACUUCAUCUCUCUCAUAUUGAUUUUUUUUUUAUGAAUCUAAGUCUACAGCUGGAUUUGAUCAUCUUCCCUAUGACAAAUGCUUCAUUGGAAGAAUAACAAUACUCAUGCAUCUUACUAUUUUUAUAUUCAUUUAGUGUAUAAAAGAAGAUUUUUAUAUAGUAAAGUUUCAAUCCUUGUUUAUGUUAUUCAUCCAUAAGUGACAAUAACAGAAGAGUAACCAUCAUCAUCAUCAGUUCAUCAUAUGAUCAUUACACAAGUUUAACAACAAGAAAGUGGAAAAACUUUAUAGAUAGGAGUGUGAGUUUACAUAAAGCUUCUGCAGUUGAAAAUUUACAGAUCUCUUGCUACACCUAAACACUUCCACACCACAAGACACAGCUCAAUUUUUCAACAUUCAUGGACAAAGAAACACAA